CCUACGGGUGGCAGCAGUGAGGAAUAUUGGUCAAUGGACGAGAGUCUGAACCAGCCAAGUAGCGUGAAGGAUGACUGCCCUAUGGGUUGUAAACUUCUUUUAUAUGGGAAUAAAACGUUCCACGUGUGGGAUUUUGUAUGUACCAUAUGAAUAAGGAUCGGCUAACUCCGUGCCAGCAGCCGCGGUAAUACGGAGGAUCCGAGCGUUAUCCGGAUUUAUUGGGUUUAAAGGGAGCGUAGGUGGAUUGUUAAGUCAGUUGUGAAAGUUUGCGGCUCAACCGUAAAAUUGCAGUUGAAACUGGCAGUCUUGAGUACAGUAGAGGUGGGCGGAAUUCGUGGUGUAGCGGUGAAAUGCUUAGAUAUCACGAAGAACUCCGAUUGCGAAAGCAGUUCACUGGACUGCAACUGACACUGAGGCUCGAAAGUGUGGGUAUCAAACAGGAUUAGAUACCCUUGUAGUC
rnacentral:rRNA from 1 species